CCCUUCUGUCAACUUGGUCAGAGAGAAGGCCCUUCCCCGAGAGAAGAGGGCUAUCCCUCAGUCAAGGGCAUCUGAGGAGCUGGGCUCCCCUGCUGGAAGCUCUCAACAAGCUCUCCCAGAGAGUGAGCAUGGGACAGG
rnacentral:sRNA from 1 species